UGUGGCCCCACCGGAGUGGCCCAGACUUUCCAGUGGGUGCCAUAGAGGAGGAGGGCCUAGCUGAGUGGGAUCCCACCUCCCUGGGCUGUGGCCCCACACC